ACUAACUUUUGUUAAUUUUUUACAAAAAUACUGCCAGACGGUAUUUUUUAUUUUUUUACUGUGUUUUUUUUAAGUUUCAUACUGUAGUAUACUGUGUUAAGUUUUCAUUGGUGUUCUACUGGUGUUUUGUUAUUGUUCUACUGUUGUUUUGAGUUGUUCUGCUUUGUGUUUUACUGGUGUUUUAUAAAAAUAUAGUAUUUUUGAAAACUUUUCCGUGUGACAGUAUUUUUGUAAAAGUUAACCCAAAUUACAAUAUUUUUAUAAAUUUCUCAAGAAAAAAUGAAUAAAGUAAACUCUUAUCACGUGCUAAAGUUUGAAUACAGCAUAAGUAUACCACACACAAUUUAACAUACUUGUGUGUGGUAAGACAUUUAAAUUAAUUACGUUUAUUUAAAAUAAACACAUUUGUUAAUAAAAAAAAUUAAAUGUAAAAAAAAAAUAAUAAAAUUUGUUAAAUGUAAAAUAUAUCUAAAAAUUAUGUGAUUCAUAUGAAAAGAUAUUAUAAUAACUUUUGUAAUUCUAUAUUAAUAUUUUUUUCUAAAAUUUCUUUCCUUUCUUCAUUGUCGUAAAUUAUGUGAGGUUCAGUUAGGAGAUUUACUAGCUACUUGCGAUGAUUUUAUGUAUUUAUGCACAAUUUCAUUGACCCCCCUUUUGAAUCAAAAAUUUUGUGACCUAAUAUUAAAUUAUACUAAUACCAAUUUAACACCUUUCUAAAGUCCCCCUUAGUAUUUAUUUAUUUGUUUUUUGUUAGAAAAUCCAAAAUUUUGUUUAUUCUUAGGAGAUCACUUUCUCGCCCCCCCCAAAAAAAAAGUAUCAAUUUGACCUGAUUUCAUUUCAUUGACCAUUCUGAAAAUGGGCCAUCUUAUUUGAUUUGGGCUUGGGCUUUUAGGGUCCGUUUGGGGAGCUUUUAAGGAAGCUAAAAGCAUUUUUAAAAAAAGCUAGGAGUAAAAAAGUGUUUGGUAAAGUUAAAAAUAUGGCUUUUUAAAAAAUUUAUUUAAAAGUUUUAGCUUUUAGCCAAAGUUGGCUGACCCCAACUUUGGGGAUUUUAGCUUUUGCCGGAAGCUGAAAGUAUAUUUAAUGAAAUUUUCACUUGACCAAAGUAUCCUCGUCUAAUUUUAAAAUUCCAAUUUUGCCAAUUGAAUUUUAGGGUUUCUCUUCCAAGCUCAAACUCCUGAUAACGAAAAGCUUAAACACUCUCCUCCUCAUUCUCAAAACGGAAACCUUGUUUACUAAUCAUUCAUCUCUCAUUCAAUUCUCUAUUUUGUUCUCCAUCGCCAGUCACCAUAUUAAAUCAUUACAUCAUUAAGCUUCUUCAUCAAGAAAUUUGUUACUCCCAAAUUGUAUGAUUUUUACAACUAUGAUGUUAAAAAAAUUAAUUUGCACAACUUUUCCCCGGGUUUACUCAAGUUAGCAAUUAAAUUAACUGGAGCUGGAGGGUAAUGUUUGGCUACUAUGAUAACUCCUCAAUCAUGGCAUAGUGUUUAAACAAUUUUGAUUUUAUCUUCUUUUGCAUAUAAAUGUUGCAUUGUUUGGGGCUUUGCCCUUCUACAUAAGCAUGAAGAACUCCAUACCAGAGUAGCAGUUUAGAAAAAAGGCUCCUGAAGCAAAAAUUACAUGAGAAGGAACACUUGAUUCAAAGGGUUUCAUUUUCUUGACUCACGUCUGAAACAUUGUUUAGGAAUAACUUUUGUAUUCUUUGUAAUGUUAUGAAGAAUUUUUCAUUUUGAAAAAUGGAGAAAUAAGGGGAAUGGAGGUUAUUUUACUUUUGAUUCUGUUUCUUAAUAAACCAAUUUGUAACACUGAUUUAGAUUUAAUUAAGAUCCAUGAUUUAUUGAUACCUUAA